UACGUAGGGUGCGAGCGUUGUCCGGAAUUAUUGGGCGUAAAGAGCUCGUAGGCGGUUUGUUGCGUCUAUCGUGAAAACCUGCAGCUUAACUGUGGGCUUGCGGUGGAUGCGGGCAGACUUGAGUUCGGUAGGGGAGACUGGAAUUCCUGGUGUAGCGGUGAAAUGCGUAGAUAUCAAGUGGAACACCAGUGGCGAAGGCGAAUCCCUGGAAAAUACCUGACACUGAGGCACGAAAGCUAGGGGAGCAAACAGG
rnacentral:rRNA from 1 species